UCACUGUGUGUUAUAUGUGUCACACGGGACCGCCGGUCUUAAGCCGGAGGAAGUGGGAUGACGUCAAGUCAGCAUGGCCUUUAUAUCCUGGGCUACACACACGCUACAAUGGCCAACACAAUAGGUUGCUAAGCCGCGAGGUGGAGCCAAUCCAUAAAGUUGGUCUCAGUUCAGAUUGUAGGCUGCAACCCGCCUGCAUGAAGAUGGAGUUGCUAGUAACCGCAGGUCAGCUAUACUGCGGUGAAUACGCUCCCGGGUCUC
rnacentral:rRNA from 1 species